rnacentral:pre_miRNA from 1 species
UGCAAGGGGGGGGGAUCCCUCAGCCUGGAUUGCAAGAGGGUGCAGGCCAGGCCGAGGGACCCCACCAGUGCAUG